rnacentral:tRNA from 1 species
GGUAGCUCAGUUGGAUAGAGCAACGUGCUGAUAACACGUGUGUCGCGGGUUCGACUCCCGCCCAUCCUUCCCCA